GAUGAACGCUGGCGGCGUGCCUAAUACAUGCAAGUCGAGCGAACAGAUGAGGAGCUUGCUCCUCUGACGUUAGCGGCGGACGGGUGAGUAACACGUGGAUAACCUACCUAUAAGACUGGGAUAACUUCGGGAAACCGGAGCUAAUACCGGAUAAUAUAUUGAUCCGCAUGGUUCAAUAGUGAAAGACGGUUUUGCUGUCACUUAUAGAUGGAUCCGCGCCGCAUUAGCUAGUUGGUAAGGUAACGGCUUACCAAGGCAACGAUGCGUAGCCGACCUGAGAGGGCGAUCGGCCACACUGGAACUGAGACACGGUCCAGACUCCUACGGGAGGCAGCAGUAGGGAAUCUUCCGCAAUGGGCGAAAGCCUGACGGAGCAACGCCGCGUGAGUGAUGAAGGUCUUCGGAUCGUAAAACUCUGUUAUUAGGGAAGAACAAAUGUGUAAGUAACUAUGCACGUCUUGACGGUACCUAAUCAGAAAGCCACGGCUAACUACGUG
rnacentral:rRNA from 1 species